UACGUAGGGCGCAAGCGUUAUCCGGAAUUAUUGGGCGUAAAGAGCUCGUAGGCGGCUUGUCGCGUCGACCGUGAAAACUUGGGGCUCAACCCCAAGCCUGCGGUCGAUACGGGCAGGCUCGAGUUCGGUAGGGGAGACUGGAAUUCCUGGUGUAGCGGUGAAAUGCGCAGAUAUCAGGAGGAACACCGAUGGCGAAGGCAGGUCUCUGGGCAUUAACUGACGCUGAGGAGCGAAAGCAUGGGGAGCGAACAGG
rnacentral:rRNA from 1 species